UGCAAUGAGCUGAGAUCGCACCUCUGCACUCUACCCUGGGUGACAGAGCAAGACUCCAUCUCAAAAAAAAAAAAAAAGAAAAAGAAGAAACAACAAAUGUACAGUAAACAGAAGUGUCACCGGAGUUCAAAUAAAGGGAAAGUUAAUAUGGAUCAAAACCGCCUGAGAUGGGGGUCAUCAACUUAGUAACAUUUAAGUGAAUCAUAAAGGAUACAGAGAUGGUCUUAUUUAGAGAGAGGAAAAGAAAAGGGCAUUCCAGUUUGCCGGGAACAACAAAAAGAAGGACUUAAAUCAGAAACUUUGUAUGUCGUCACCCUUCAGCUCUGCUCCUUUACGUCUUGCUUUGUCCCUAGUUGGCUGUAACACCUGUGGAAUAUUACCAACUAAGCCCUUGCUUAGUUGCAAGUGGGAUUACAGGUGCACGCCUGUAAUCCCAGCUACUAGGGAGGCUGAGGCAGGAGAAUUGCUUGAACCCGGGAGGCGGAGGUUGCAGUGAGCCGAGAUCUCACCAUUGCACUCAAGCCCGGGAGACAGAGUGAGACUGCAUCUCUUCAAAAGCAGCAUGAAUUCCCAACUUUUCAAACAAACUUUUCUCUAUACAGUGGAAUUCGAGACUCUAGAAAAUGGUCUGCAUCAUCUUUGAGAUUUGCUCAAGGAUAUCUUCCUUCCCCAUCCUUAACUGUGCCCCCAGGGAGAAGCUCUGCAGGGAGGCAGAGCAGUGAAAUUAUCAUGUUGCUAAUGUGAAUUGAGUGUUUUCAUUCUCACAACAGCUCUCCCAGGUGGGUUGCUUCACAUCUGAGGAAACCGAGAUCAGAAAAAGUAAGUUGUUAACCCCUACACGGUGGAGCCGGGUCUCAAACGUGGUCUGGCUAACUGUAGAGCCAGGCUCUUCAAGAUUCUGUACAUGAGGCAACCACUCUAACUAUCCUGGGC
rnacentral:lncRNA from 1 species